GUAAUACGGAGGGUGCAAGCGUUAAUCGGAAUUACUGGGCGUAAAGCGCACGCAGGCGGUUUGUUAAGUCAGAUGUGAAAUCCCCGCGCUUAACGUGGGAACUGCAUUUGAAACUGGCAAGCUAGAGUCUUGUAGAGGGGGGUAGAAUUCCAGGUGUAGCGGUGAAAUGCGUAGAGAUCUGGAGGAAUACCGGUGGCGAAGGCGGCCCCCUGGACAAAGACUGACGCUCAGGUGCGAAAGCGUGGGGAGCAAACAGGAUUAGAUACCCUGGUAGUCCACGCCGUAAACGAUGUCUACUAGUCGUUGGGGAACUUGAUUCCUUAGUGACGCAGCUAACGCAAUAAGUAGACCGCCUGGGGAGUACGGCCGCAAGG
rnacentral:rRNA from 1 species